UGGAGUGUAGCUCAGUUGGUGGAGUGCUAGACUGGCAUUCAGGAGCCCCUGGGUUUGAUCCCCUGCAUGACAU
rnacentral:tRNA from 2 species